rnacentral:rRNA from 1 species
UGGGGUAAUGGCCUACCAAGGCGACGAUCUGUAGCUGGUUUGAGAGAACGAUCAGCCACACUGGGACUGAGACACGGCCCAGACUCCUACGGGAGGCAGCAGUGGGGAAUAUUGGACAAUGGGCGCAAGCCUGAUCCAGCAAUGCCGCGUGUGUGAAGAAGGCCUGCGGGUUGUAAAGCACUUUCAGUUGGGAGGAAAGGUUUAAGUUUAAUACGCUUGAACUGUGACGUUACCAACAGAAGAAGCACCGGCUAACUCUGUGCCAGCAGCCGCGGUAAUACAGAGGGUGCAAGCGUUAAUCGGAAUUACUGGGCGUAAAGCGCGCGUAGGCGGUUUGUUAAGUCGGAUGUGAAAUCCCUGGGCUCAACCUGGGAACUGCAUUCGAAACUGACUGACUAGAGUAUGGUAGAGGGUGGUGGAAUUCCUAGUGUUUCGGUGAAAUGCGUAUAUAUUUGGAGGAACAUCAGUGGUGAAGGCGACCACCCUGGACCAAUACUGACGCUGAGGUGCGAAAGCGUGUGGAGCAAACAGGAUUAGAUACCCUGGUAGUCCACGUCCGUAAACGAUGUCAACUAGAUGUUGGGAGGGUCUACCUCUUAGUGUCGCAGCUAACGCGUUAAGUUGAC